AGUGAACGCUGGCGGUAGGCCUAACACAUGCAAGUCGAACGGCAGCACAGUAAGAGCUUGCUCUUACGGGUGGCGAGUGGCGGACGGGUGAGGAAUACAUCGGAAUCUACUUUUUCGUGGGGGAGAACGUAGGGAAACUUACGCUAAUACCGCAUACGACCUACGGGUGAAAGCAGUGGAGCUUCGGACCUUUCGCGAUUGAAUGAGCCGAUGUCGGAUUAGCUAGUGGGCGGGGUAAAGGCCCACCAAGGCGACGAUCCGUAGCUGGUCUGAGAGGAUGACCAGCCACACUGGAACUGAGACACGGUCCAGACUCCUACGGGAGGCAGCAGUGGGGAAUAUUGGACAAUGGGCGAAAGCCUGAUCCAGCCAUACCGCGUGGGUGAAGAAGGCCUUCGGGUUGUAAAGCCCUUUUGUUGGGAAAGAAAAGCAGCAGGUUAAUACCCCGCUGUUCUGACGGUACCCAAAGAAUAAGCACCGGCUAACUUCGUG
rnacentral:rRNA from 1 species